rnacentral:lncRNA from 1 species
UGCAGUGAGCCGAGAUCAUGCCUGGGUGACAGAGCGAGACUCCGUCUCGAAAACAGAAAAACAAGAAACCAAAAAGCCCUACCUCAGUACCUCAGUCACCAAGAGCCCCAAGCAGAGUUACCGGAAGAUAGCUGACAUGUAUUAAAUGUUUGUGGAAUAAGGAAUACAUGAAGAAGUCUAUCAUUCAAUCAAAGAAAACUAAGUAUCAUUGGAGGUCUUUCCAUUUUGGGGUCCAGUGGGUGUCCUUUGAGUCAAGAGCAUGAUCUUCAAUAGACUUGGGGCCAGAAAUGUGACAUGUGUCUGAAUCCAAUCAGAUCCAGUUAAGAUCCACAAAUGCUAGUCACUGGAAUCUGCAGCCCUUGAAUUAAUUCUGUCCUUAGAUUUGAUAAGCCAAUGUCAGAUUUAUUGUUGUUAUUUAUUAUUCUGUCCCUCCAGGAUGACAUUAGGAACAUACUGUCAAGAAAAGGAUGAUGCGUGUGCUGCAAAAUGCAGGACAAUUCACUUUCCAGGUGGGGUCUGGGGCCUGUGGCUUCUCUGUGAACUUUCUUUGUGUGCUGUGGAAUAUUUUCCAGCUGCAGCCUAUUGUCCUGUGAUUAGACUCUGGGGCUCCACAGGUAAGAGAUGAACAAUUCUAAGGGUAAUUGAACACUCCACAAAUUUUCACAGUGGAUCAGCACUGUGCCAUUUAGCCCAGGUAUUUCUGUGAUUGCGAUGCUGAGAAAAUGUACACCGUUAAGUGGUUGUCAAAUCACUCUUUCAUCUGAGCAAAACAGGACUUGUUAUUUGCAGUCUAGGUCAUAAAAGCAAGUGGUUUGGGGAAAAUGGCUGCUUAGAGACUAAGAAAAAAGUUUUUGUUUGGAAAUUUGAGUUCUUAAAAUCCAGGCAUCAAAGAUUUCAAGGAGUAGAAAAUACUUAAAAGUCUUUGCAUUCUCUUCCCCUUUAUUUGGUAAAUACCAUAUAGAUUGUUAGGGGCAUAGCCAGCCUGGAACCAGGAGUUAUAAUGAUAUUAUUCCCAUUAUACUGAUGGAGAAAUUGAGGCUUGUGGUCAUAUAGUUUUAAAGGAGGGACUCUGGGAGGCAAACUUGGGUCACCUGAUUUCAAGCCUUAUGUUUUCUCCAGACAAGUAUGUCACUUUGUUUAUUCUUGGGUUCGUUUAAAAAUGCAAAAGAAAUGUCAUGCUCCUUUGAGAGCUUACAAUUCAUGACGGGAUGUGACAGGCUACAACAACUCAUGGCUAACUGCAAUAACAGGCAUGAAAGCCCUGACCAAGGAAAGAAGGUCUUUGCCCAACCUUGGUUGAAACAGUAUAGGACAGAAAGGGGGCACCCACACCAUCUGGAAGUUUUCACCAGUUCUUUGUCAAGAAAGAACAUAAUUUUGGUAUUAAAACUUGUCAUGGUUUGGUGGAAGGAACAACAGUACAAAUGCAUACCAAAUUCAUACUAUGAAAUUUGCCCAUUUUGAGUAUAUAACAUUGAUUUUUAUUAUGAAAAUAUCUUAGUCAGCUUGGGCUGCUAUAACCGAAUAGCAUGGACUGGGUGGUUUGAAUAAUAAACAUUUAUUUCUCACAGUUCUGGUGGCUGGAAGUCCAAGAUCAGGAUGCCAGCAUGGUCAAGUUCUUGAAUCUUGAUGACUAGCAUUUGGAGGAACACACCUUGGGAAAUGGUGAUUCUGUCCAAACUUUUUGUGUUAUGGCUGUGAGAAAUAGACUUACAGAAGGAGAUGUCCGCCCCACAUCUCUAAACUCAUGGGUGGAAACUCAGACUAAGACGGCACCUAGAAUGUGGUCCAGCACAUUGAGAAUAGAGCAGAAGAUGAAAGCUGGAGGGGCUGAGGGGCCUUGGAGGCAGAGUUGGGCUCAACUUCUCAUUCCCUGGGACGAACUGUGCACAGUAGCCUCUGCUCCUCCUUCUUCAGUGAAGACUGCGAUGCCUGUGUUGGGGCUCAGAAACCGAUACCCCAAAAUAUGAUGCUUUGUACAUGCUGAACUGAAACAGGAGCUUUAAGCUCUUUCAGGCCUCCCCACAUCUUACCGUCUCUCCCAAAGUGUAGGAUUCUCUGAAAGUCUUUGUCUGCCUAAAGUCCAGACCUACCAAUGAAGAAAACAAUCACCUCCUGCCCUUUGUCUGAGUUUUCAUGAGCUGAACCCAUAUUGCAGGAAGGAAGGCUAAGAUCUGUCAACACACCUGGGCAGACUUUUGUCACAAACCAUUGUCUGCUCUGAGGACCCAAAAGAGCUUGUCCCAGAUAAUUGCCUGUUCUUUAAGGCUAUUAAAUUCUCCCUGGUAACCAUUUACUGUCCUUCAACGGAAGUCCUCUUCUUCCCCCUCCCAUGACCUGUAUGACCAGCUCCCAUGCCCCCAUUCUUUCUGUAACCUCAAGAUGGUUUAUAAACUUCUGCGCCUCAUUGAGGGGUUGGGUCUUCAUUCUGAGGGCUCCCGUGUCACCUAAAGCUAUGGUCAGAUACAUUUGUAUGUGUUUUCUCCAAUUAAUCUGCCUUUCGUGAGUUGAUUUAUCGUGAAACUUCAGAGGAUGAAGGAGAAAUUUUCCCUUUGCACCUAUGCCUGCCACCCUCACAGGCUGUGUGAAGGUCCUUCUUCAAAAAAUACUGGCUAUUCUUGGCACUGACCUGGCCUCGGCUUUCAGGAAGAGAGGGGAGGCAGGCUCCCUUUCCCAAGACAUGCUGGCAGCCUGAGAGUCAAGGCCAUGGGGUGUUCACAGAUGAGGCCCCCUGAUAUUUACAUGUCUUAGGGAUCAGAAGUGGGCACAGCUGGGGCAGAGCGAGGAAGUGCUAACACCCACCAGGCAUCUGCGAGGGGACGCCCACAUCAAGAAAACCUCAGCACAAGGUUGAGUGUUUCAGCAAACCUCGGGGAGAUUGCACAUUUACUCAUGAAGAGACCACAUGGUGAGGUCAGCCCCAAAACCAGGCCAAUGUCUCUCAAGCCCAACUAGUUUUCAAGACAAUGUCUUGCAACUUAUAGAGUUUGGGGGGAAGGCAGUGUGAAGUUCAGGGGGGAAGGCAGUGUGAAGGUGAGCAUAUCAGUAGCUACCCACCAUGCUGGCUAAUCACUGGGAAAUUCUUUUAUAAACAGCCACAGUCUCUCUCAAGUUUUCCAAAAUUAGAACCUCUCCAAAUUUAUUUUUUUCAAGGCUUCAGAAAUAUCCCAUAAAUCUUUGAAAACGAAAAUUUCUUCUCUCUCCUCAGUCCUCACCCAGGGCUUCUGAUGCUGCCAGUCAAUCCCAAGUCAUGCUUGGUGUUUGGGGACCACGGCAGUGCAAAACCUCUGAGGGCCUGGGGAGAAGGAAUACCUGCAAGACUAAGAAUAAUGAAGGGAUAUAACAGAGGAUAGCCUCACUAUGCUCCUACUCCAGAAAAUUGGAUUAUUGUCUGCAAAGAUUCCUCAGUCUUGUGGACACUGAUGAAAUAUUGUAGACUGGAAUUGAAUCUGGCUUGUUGUCUGUUUGUUUAUUCCUGAGCCUGAUAAUUUAUUUGAACAACUUUGCCUUUCUAUAGUACAUGAUGAUCGGCAAGUUACUAUGA